rnacentral:lncRNA from 1 species
UUUGAAUCACACGAUUUAGACAGUUGUAAAGAUUGGUGAUCAUGAUUGUGUGGUAACUGUACAUACCGAUUAUGAACCAGGAAAAGAAACUAACGCUAGCUCACAGUUCUUUCAGAAAAACAUAAAAGUGCUAACUGGCAGUUAUAUUUCCACCCACCACUCCUAGUUGUGACUUCCUAAAAGAAAUGGGAACAAAAAUGAUAUUACAGCCUCAUGUCCCUUCCUUGUUUGGCCGUUAUAUUCCGCAUGUUCCUUCCCUGAACAAAAGAGAUCAAUAGUGAGCAUUAAAGACCCCUGAAAACUCAAUAGGAUAUACACCAUAGCAGUACCUGGCCCUAUUUUCAUAUUCAAUACACAUCACCAAAUUCUAAUAGUAAUCAAGGUUGAAUUAAAAUCGUACAUAAAGUUUUUGUAGUUAGAGACAGGACCGAGUUGGAAUAGUAUAGAGAAAAUCAAACUUUAUCCUACCAUUACACUCAAGAAACAUGGCUCACUUAUCAUAUGAACAUAAACAUACUGAGCAAUUUAUUUACCUUCAGAUGUCCAUUCUCUAUAUUUCCGCUUUGCAAAUGAUCCUAGUUUAAAGCAUGAUAUCCUUUGGAAUCAUCAC